GAUGAACGCUGGCGGCGUGCCUAACACAUGCAAGUCGAACGGAGUUAUUCGAGGAAGUUUUCGGAUGGAAUCAAAUAACUUAGUGGCGGACGGGUGAGAAACGCGUGGGAAACCUGCCCUGUACCGGGGGAUAACACUUAGAAAUAGGUGCUAAUACCGCAUAAGCGCACGGGACCGCAUGGUCCAGUGUGAAAAACUCCGGUGGUACAGGAUGGUCCCGCGUCUGAUUAGCCAGUUGGCGGGGUAACGGCCCACCAAAGCGACGAUCAGUAGCCGGCCUGAGAGGGUGGACGGCCACAUUGGGACUGAGACACGGCCCAAACUCCUACGGGAGGCAGCAGUGGGGAAUAUUGCACAAUGGGGGAAACCCUGAUGCAGCGACGCCGCGUGAGUGAAGAAGUAUUUCGGUAUGUAAAGCUCUAUCAGCAGGGAAGAAGAUGACGGUACCUGAGUAAGAAGCCCCGGCUAACUACGUGCCAGCAGCCGCGGUAAUACGUAGGGGGCAAGCGUUAUCCGGAUUUACUGGGUGUAAAGGGAGCGUAGACGGUGAAGCAAGUCUGGAGUGAAAACCCGGGGCUUAACCCCGGGAUUGCUUUGGAAACUGUUUAACUGGAGUGCAGGAGAGGUAAGCGGAAUUCCUAGUGUAGCGGUGAAAUGCGUAGAUAUUAGGAGGAACACCAGUGGCGAAGGCGGCUUACUGGACUGUAACUGACGUUGAGGCUCGAAAGCGUGGGGAGCAAACAGGAUUAGAUACCCUGGUAGUCCACGCGGUAAACGAUGAUUACUAGGUGUAGGUGGGUAUGGACCCAUCGGUGCCGCAGCUAACGCAGUAAGUAAUCCACCUGGGGAGUACGUUCGCAAGAAUGAAACUCAAAGAAAUUGACGGGGACCCGCACAAGCAGCGGAGCAUGUGGUUUAAUUCGACGCAACGCGAAAAACCUUACCAGGACUUGACAUCGAGUGAAAGCCUGAGAGAUCAGGCCCCUCUUCGGAGCACGAAGACAGGUGUUGCAUGGUUGUCGUCAGCUCGUGUCGUGAGAUGUUGGGUUAAGUCCCGCAACGAGCGCAACCCUCAUAUACAGUUGCCAAUAUUCAGUUAGGAACUCUGUAUAGACUGCCGUGGUUAACACGGAGGAAGGUGGGGAUGACGUCAAAUCAUCACGGCCCUUACGUCCUGGGCUACACACGUGCUACAAUGGCUAUUACAAAGAGCUGCAAUACAGUAAUGUUGAGCGAAUCUCAGAAAGAUAGUCUCAGUUCAGAUUGUGGGCUGCAACCCGCCCACAUGAAGUCGGAGUUGCUAGUAAUCCCGAAUCAGCAUGUCGGGGUGAAUGCGUUCCCGGGUCUUGUACACACCGCCCGUCACGCCAUGGGAGUCGGGAGUACCCAAAGUCAGUGACUUAACCGCAAGGGGAGAGCUGCCUAAGGUAAUACCGAUGACUGGGGUGA
rnacentral:rRNA from 1 species